UACGAACCGUACAAACGUUAUUCGGAAUCACUGGGCUUAAAGGGUGCGUAGGCGGCCAUGUAAGUGGGGUGUGAAAUCCCUCGGCUCAACCGAGGAACUGCGCUCCAUACUGCAUGGCUUGAGGGAGACAGGGGUAAGCGGAACUGAUGGUGGAGCGGUGAAAUGCGUUGAUAUCAAGAGGAACACCUGAGGUGAAGACGGGUUGCUGGGCCGACACUGACGCGGAGUGCGCGAAAGCCAGGGGAGCAAACGGG
rnacentral:rRNA from 1 species